rnacentral:SRP_RNA from 1 species
GCUUGGGUCUCGCGCAAUGAGGCUCUGUGAAUCCCGUCAGGUCCGGAAGGAAGCAGCGGUAAGCGGCUCGCCUCAUGUGCCGUGAGGGCGCCUGAGGGCU